GCGCAAGGUCGAAAAACUGAA
rnacentral:misc_RNA from 1 species